rnacentral:rRNA from 1 species
CGCAUCUGUGCAUGCAGCAUAUCAAUAAGCGGAGGAAAAGAAACUAACAAGGAUUCCCCUAGUAACGGCGAGUGAAGCGGGAAGAGCUCAAAUUUGAAAUCUUAAAGGGUUUCCCUUUACGAAUUGUAGUUUAAAGAAGUGUUUUCUGUUGAGGUUUUGGUAAAAGUUCUUUGGAAUAGGACAUCAUAGAGGGUGAGAAUCCCGUAUUUGACCUUUACUUUCAACUUUGUGAUACACUUUCAAAGAGUCGGAUUGUUUGGGAAUGCAGUCCAAAAUGGGUGGUAAAUUUCAUCUAAAGCUAAAUAUUGGCGAGAGACCGAUAGCGAACAAGUACCGUGAGGGAAAGAUGAAAAGAACUUUGAAAAGAGAGUUAAACAGUACGUGAAAUUGUCAAAAGGGAAGCGUUUGACACCAGUGUUGUUUUUCUGAAAAUCAAUUAAAGAACUGUUUAUGCUAAGCUGUUUAGACUUUAUCAGCUAUACUGUUUAGUUUUGAGCUUUUCUUUAAUGCACUUUUCAGUUAACAAGUCAACAUCAAUUUCUUUUGCUGUAAAAAAGCUUGAGGAAGGUGGCUUGAGAUUCGUCUUAAGUGUUUAUAGCCUCUUGCCUAUGCGGUCGGAGAGAUUGAGGUCUGCAGCGUAGAUCCUUCGGGGCUAAAUGCAUUUGUGCUAAGUUAUAACAUUUUAUAGACAACUUGUUGACUAUGAUUUGUCUUGUAGCUUACUCGCUUAUGUUAUUUUACCUACGCUUAGGAUGUUGACAGCAGUAUAGACUGU